rnacentral:rRNA from 1 species
AUUGAACGCUGGCGGCAUGCUUUACACAUGCAAGUCGAACGGUAACAGGCCUUCGGGUGCUGACGAGUGGCGAACGGGUGAGUAAUGCAUCGGAACGUACCCAGAGGUGGGGGAUAACGCAGCGAAAGCUGUGCUAAUACUGCAUGUGAUCUGAGGAUGAAAGCGGGGGACCGAGCAGCAAUGUUUGGCCUCGCGCCUUUGGAGCGGCCGAUGUCGGAUUAGCUAGUUGGUGGGGUAAAGGCCUACCAAGGCGACGAUCCGUAGCUGGUCUGAGAGGACGACCAGCCACACUGGGACUGAGACACGGCCCAGACUCCUACGGGAGGCAGCAGUGGGGAAUUUUGGACAAUGGGCGCAAGCCUGAUCCAGCAAUGCCGCGUGCGGGAAGAAGGCCUUCGGGUUGUAAACCGCUUUUGGCAGGAACGAAACGGUGUCCGCUAAUACCGGGCGCUAAUGACGGUACCUGCAGAAUAAGCACCGGCUAACUACGU